AGCCCCCACCUCUUAUUAAUAAAUGUUAAUUUAUUGAACAUAUUAAUAAAUGUUAAUUUCAAACCUAUUUUGAAAUACAGUUGUUUUUGAGCAAUAGUUAAGUUAAAUAAAACUACCCAGAAGGCUGGGUUAAAUGUUUAAUCCUACUGCUGGGUCAAAACAACCCAUUCGCUCGGUUUGUCUAUAUUUCACCUAGUGCUGGGUUGAUUUUAACCCAGCAUUUUUUAAAGUGUAGCUUAAGUGUAAUUAGAUGUCUGUUGUUAGUAGUAGUUUAUGUAGUGUUGCUAGCACUGAUCUGGAGAUAUUUUGAUAUUUAUCGUAAGAAGACCAAAUGAGUGAUUGGAGUCGAGUGUGCCAGUGAAAGGUCCCUUGACCCAAAACCUUAUAAUGUUUAUUGACUCACCUACCACUUUAAUUUCCCCAACAAUAUGAGCUUCAGACAGCCUGGCUAUCCAUCAGUGUCUGGCAGCUCAGCUCGGCUCUGAAAUAAGUGCUACCAAAGCAUGUUGGAGAACUAAUACCUGGUCUGUAGUGUGUUUAUUGUGUAGUUUACUGUGCUCAGAUCAUAUUCUGAUAACAAACACAUUUAUGAAUACUGUAUCAGAUUGUUAUAGAUAACAACGGGUUGAAGGUCCAUGGGCACACAUCGCAGAGCUAUUGCAAGACAAGCGUUUGUGUUUAAAAAGUAUAUAAAUUUAAAUGCAAAAUAAUAAUAAUAAUAAAAAUUGACAAAUCAUUCUGCUAGAUAAGACCUAUAUUCCUCGGCUGGGAUUGUGUAGAGCCAUUUGAAGCUGCAUUGAAACUGCAAUUUGGACCUUGAACUCCUUGAACCCCAUUGACGUCCACUAUAUGGAGGAAUAUCCUGGAAUGUUUUCCUCAAUUUCCUCCUUAAUUUCUUUUCGACUGAAGAAAGAAAGACAUGGACAUGAGUGAUUAUGAACACAGUAAUUGCUCACUCCCUGUGUUGGGAUUCAACUUCAUAUGCCGAUGCCCAUUAGGCCAAAUGGGACUGCGAUACAAGCUGGACUGACCCUGAGCUGCUUUAAAACAACAUGUUCUGCCCACCCACCAUCUGUCCUCAGUGAAUGCCCAGCCUUGAGCACAAAUCUGGAAUUGAUAUGGAAAGUACAUCUCCAUCAUCAGCAGUGGUCAGAUAGCUUGAGCUUAACACCGCUUCCAGUAGUAUUUAUCUCCUUGAAAGCCCAGUUACAAGUUUGAAACUUGAACAAAAUUGCUUUGAUUAUCGGUAUAUUAAAGGAAUUGUUUAUACAAAAAUAAAAAUUUGCUAAAAUUGUACUUAUUCAAGAUGUAGUUUGUUUCUUCAUCAGAACAGAUAUGGAGAAAUUUUGCAUCGCAUCACUUGCUUACAAAUGGAUCCUCUACAGU
ensembl:lncRNA